GCAAGUCGAACGGUAACAGCAGAGCUUGCUCUGGCUGACGAGUGGCGGACGGGUGAGUAAUGCAUCGGAAUGUACCCAGUAGUGGGGGAUAGCCCGGCGAAAGCCGGAUUAAUACCGCGUACGCACUAUGGUGGAAAGUGGGGGAUCCCUCGGGACCUCACGCUCUUGGAGCAGCCGGUGUCAGAUUAGCUUGUUGGUGGGGUAAAAGCCCACCAAGGCGACGAUCUGUAACUGGUCUGAGAGGACGACC
rnacentral:rRNA from 1 species